GAAACUAUCAAUAGCCUCCGGACAAGAUCAGGAGCACGCAUUCAGCCGAUGCAACUUCCUGAAGGAGAACAAUCAAAAGAAAGAACCGUGAGAGUGACUGGUGAUAGAAAGCAGAUUGAGCGGGCUAGAGAAAUGAUUCAAGAAGUCAUGGAUCAGGUUUGUAUUCAUUAUCAAUCCUGUUCUUU